CAAGAUAGCACUUCAGCUGAGGACUCUCUGAGUCUGGCACAAAAUUCUACAAAAGUAAAUAUUAACCCAAGGGAAAAAUAAGUUUCUCAUUAAUCAAUGGUGUAAUUCUUUGUUUCUUACUAGACCUUGCUUGCGUCAGUGCCCCCCCACUCCUCUGUUCCCAGGAUCUCCCUACACACCCAGAAAAGCUGUGUGCAUUCAGUAAAGAGUGAAGAGUUCAGAGAUUCUUGGUCUUAGCCUGAUAAGAGCUCUAACCAUCUGGACUCUCUGGCAUUCUAAAUUAUAGCCACUGUGUCUUUUACUUCUUUGCAAUAUCACUGAGGAUUGAUCCUCUUGCCUCAGCCUCCCAAGCAGCUGAGAUUACUGGCAUGUGUCACCAUACCCACCUCUCUUCUUUGUUUUAAGGAUGAUUUUGUUGGAUUGAAUACUCUUGGUGAGCAGGGAUU
rnacentral:lncRNA from 1 species